rnacentral:rRNA from 1 species
UCCGCCCGCUGGCGGCGUGCUUAACACAUGCAAGUCGAACGGAAAGGCCCUGCUUUUGUGGGGUGCUCGAGUGGCGAACGGGUGAGUAACACGUGAGUAAUCUGCCCUUGACUUUGGGAUAACUUCAGGAAACUGGGGCUAAUACCGGAUAGGAGCUCCUGCUGCAUGGUGGGGGUUGGAAAGUUUCGGCGGUUGGGGAUGGACUCGCGGCUUAUCAGCUUGUUGGUGGGGUAGUGGCUUACCAAGGCUUUGACGGGUAGCCGGCCUGAGAGGGUGACCGGCCACAUUGGGACUGAGAUACGGCCCAGACUCCUACGGGAGGCAGCAGUGGGGAAUAUUGCACAAUGGGCGGAAGCCUGAUGCAGCAACGCCGCGUGCGGGAUGACGGCCUUCGGGUUGUAAACCGCUUUCGCCUGUGACGAAGCGUGAGUGACGGUAAUGGGUAAAGAAGCACCGGCUAACUACGUG